UGCCGGUCCGCCUCACCGCGAGUACUGGUCCGGAUGGGCCUUUCUUUCUGGGGAAUCCCAUGGCCUUCACUGGCUGUGGCGGGGAACCAGGACUUUUACUGUGAAAAAAUUAGAGUGUUCAAAGCAGGCCUUUGCUCGGAUACAUUAGCAUGGAAUAAUAAAAAAAGAAGUGCGGGUUCUAUUUUGUUGGUUUCUAGGACCGCCGUAAUGAUUAAUAGGGAUAGUCGGGGGCGUCAGUAUUCAGCUGUCAGAGGUGAAAUUUCUUGGGAUUUGCUGAAGACUAAACUACUGCGAAAAGCAUUCGCCCAAGGAUGUUUUUCAUUAAUCAGGGGAACGAAAAGUUUAGGGGGAUCGAAGACGAUCAGAUACCGUCGUAGUCUUAACCAUAAACUAUGCCGACUAGGGAUCGGGCGGGGGUUUUCUAUGAUGACCCGCUCGGCACCUUACGAAAAAAUCAAAGUUUUUGGGUUCUGGGGGGAGUAUGGUCGCAAGGCUGAAACUUAAAGAAAUUGACGGAAGGGCACCACAAGGCGUGGAGCCUGCGGCUUAAUUUGACUCAACCACGGGGAAACUCACCAGGUCCAGACAAAAUAAGGAUUGACAGAUUGAGAGCUCUUUCUUGAUCUUUUGGAUGGUGGUGCAUGGCCGUUCUUAGUUGGUGGAGUGAUUUGUCUGCUUAAUUGCGAUAACGAACGAGACCUCGGC
rnacentral:rRNA from 1 species